rnacentral:rRNA from 1 species
GACGAACGCUGGCGGCGCGCUUAACACAUGCAAGUCGAACGGUGAACCGGGCUUCGGCCCGGGGAUCAGUGGCGAACGGGUGCGUAACACGUGGGCAACCUGCCCCUCACUCUGGGAUAACCCCGGGAAACCGGAGCUAAUACCGGAUACUCCGACCGGUCCGCAUGGUCUGGUCGGGAAAGGCCCGCCGGUGAGGGAUGGGCCCGCGGCCUAUCAGCUUGUUGGUGAGGUAACGGCUCACCAAGGCGACGACGGGUAGCUGGUCUGAGAGGACGACCAGCCACACUGGGACUGAGAUACGGCCCAGACUCCUACGGGAGGCAGCAGUGGGGAAUCUUGCGCAAUGGGCGAAAGCCUGACGCAGCGACGCCGCGUGGGGGAUGACGGCCCUCGGGUUGUAAACCCCUUUCGGCAGGGACGAAGCGAUCGUGACGGUACCUGCAGAAGAAGCCUCGGCUAACUACGUGCCAGCCGCCGCCGUAACAC